rnacentral:rRNA from 1 species
UACGUAGGCAGCAAGCGUUGUUCGGAGUUACUGGGCGUAAAGGGUGUGUAGGCGGUUGUUUAAGGUUGGUGUGAAAUCUCCCGGCUCAACCGGGAGGGUGCGCCGAAUACUGAAUAACUAGAGUGCGGGAGAGGAAAGUGGAAUUCCUGGUGUAGCGGUGAAAUGCGUAGAUAUCAGGAGGAACACCGGUGGUGUAGACGGCUUUCUGGACCGUAACUGACGCUGAGACACGAAAGCGUGGGUAGCAAACAGG